GAUUUCAAUUGAAAAAGCCAUCAACAACAAAGUUGUAUAACUCAUCAAUAUCUAUAACUUUUAUUUUGGUCAUUUCUUCAUCCGACAAAGUGAUAAUAACAUUGUUUACAAAAUUUACAUAUAUCUCCUAUAGUUUAUGAAUUAUGUAAGAGAUAUGUACAUUUUGUGAACAAUGUUACAAAUCACUUUAUCGGAUGAAGAUAUGACCAAAAUAAAAGUUAUAGAUCUUGAUGAGUUAUACUAUUUUGUUAUUGAUGACUUUUUCAGUUGAAAUC
rnacentral:pre_miRNA from 2 species